rnacentral:rRNA from 1 species
UACAGAGGGUGCGAGCGUUAAUCGGAAUUACUGGGCGUAAAGCGCGCGUAGGCGGCUUUGCAAGUCGGGUGUGAAAUCCCCAGGCCUAACCUGGGAACUGCAUUCGAGACUGCAUGGCUAGAGUAUCGGAGAGGGAAGUGGAAUUCCCGGUGUAGUGGUGAAAUGCGUAGAUAUCGGGAGGAACACCAGUGGCGAAGGCGACUUCCUGGCCUGUUCUUGACGCUGAGGCGCGAAAGCUAGGGUAGCAAACGGG